UACGAAGGGGGCGAGCGUUGUUCGGAAUCACUGGGCUUAAAGCGUGCGUAGGCGGCCAUCCAAGUCAGGAGUGAAAUCCCAGGGCUUAACCCUGGAAUUGCUUUUGAAACUAGGUGGCUUGUGUCCCGGAGAGGUUGGCGGAAUUCCGAGUGUAGAGGUGAAAUUCGCAGAUAUUCGGAGGAACACCAGUGGCGAAGGCGGCCAACUGGACGGGUACAGACGCUGAGGCACGAAAGCGUGGGGAUCAAACAGG
rnacentral:rRNA from 1 species